rnacentral:rRNA from 1 species
CAACAGGGAUUCCCCUAGUAACGGCGAGUGAAGCGGGACAGCUCAAAUUUGAAAUCUGGCCCUCGGGUCCGAGUUGUAAUUUGUAGAGGAUGCUUUUGGUGCGGUGCCUUCCGAGUUCCCUGGAACGGGACGCCUUAGAGGGUGAGAGCCCCGUACGGUUGGACGCCUAGCCUCUGUAAAGCUCCUUCGACGAGUCGAGUAGUUUGGGAAUGCUGCUCUAAAUGGGAGGUAUAUUUCUUCUAAAGCUAAAUACUGGCCAGAGACCGAUAGCGCACAAGUAGAGUGAUCGAAAGAUGAAAAGCACUUUGAAAAGAGGGUUAAAUAGCACGUGAAAUUGUUGAAAGGGAAGCGUUUAUCACCAGACUUUUUCUGGGGGGAUCAUCCGGUGUUCUCACCGGUGCACUUCCCCCAGUUGAGGCCAGCAUCGGUUUUCGGAGGGGGAUAAAAGCUUCGGGAAUGUGACUCCCUCGGGAGUGUUAUAGCCCGUUGCAUAAUACCCUUCUGGGGACCGAGGUUCGCGCAUCUGCAAGGAUGCUGGCAUAAUGGUGAUCAACGA